rnacentral:tRNA from 1 species
GCAUCCGUAGCUCAGCUGGAUAGAGUACUGCCCUCCGAAGGCAGGGGUCGUGGGUUCGAAUCCCGCCGGAUGCUCCA